rnacentral:rRNA from 1 species
AUUGAACGCUGGCGGCAGGCCUAACACAUGCAAGUCGAACGAGUGGCGGACGGGUGAGUAAUGUCUGGGAAACUGCCCGAUGGAGGGGGAUAACUACUGGAAACGGUAGCUAAUACCGCAUACCAUCGGAUGUGCCCAGAUGGGAUUAGCUUGUAGGGGAGGUAACGGCUCCCCUAGGCGACGAUCCCUAGCUGGUCUAAGAGGAUGACCAGCCAAACGGUAACUGAGACACGGUCCAGACUCCUACGGGAGGCAGCAGUGGGUAAUAUGGGACAAUGUGCGAAAUCCUGAUCCAGCCCUGCCGCGGGUGUGAAGAAGGUCUUCAGAUUGGAAAGCACUUUAAGUUGGGAGGCGUUACCAACAGAAGAAGCACCGGCUAACUUCGUGCCAGCAGCCGCGGUAAUAC